rnacentral:rRNA from 1 species
CCUACGGGAGGCAGCAGUCGGGAAUAUUGCGCAAUGGAGGAAACUCUGACGCAGUGACGCCGCGUAUAGGAAGAAGGUCCUCGGAUUGUAAACCAUCGUCGUUAGGGAAGCAAAAGAACAGUACCUAAGGAGGAAGCUCCUGCUAACUACGAGCCAGCAGCCGCGGUAAUACGGAGGGAGCAAGAGUUUUCCGGAGUUACUGGGUGUAAAGGGUGGGUAGAGGGGAAUUUAAGUUAGUCGUGAAAUCCCUCGGCUCAACUGAGGAACUGCACCUAAAACUGGAUUUCUUGAGUGCUGGAGAGGAAAGCGGAAUGCGUGGUGUAGCGGUGAAAUGCGUAGAUAUUAGGAGGAACACCAGUGGCGAAGGCAGCUUUCUGGACAGUAACUGACGUUGAGGCACGAAAGUGUGGGGAGCAAACAGGAUUAGAUACCCCUGUAGUC